rnacentral:tRNA from 1 species
AGGGUUGUGGCUCAGUGGUGGAGCACUUGCCUAGCAUGCGUGAGGCACUGGGUUCAAUCCCCGACAGCACAA